rnacentral:rRNA from 1 species
UACGAAGGGGGCGAGCGUUGUUCGGAAUUAUUGGGCGUAAAGAGCUCGUAGGCGGUUUGUCGCGUCUGCCGUGAAAGUCCGGGGCUCAACUCCGGAUCUGCGGUGGGUACGGGCAGACUAGAGUGAUGUAGGGGAGACUGGAAUUCCUGGUGUAGCGGUGAAAUGCGCAGAUAUCAGGAGGAACACCGGUGGCGAAGGCGGUUCUCUGGGCAUUACCUGACGCUGAGGAGCGAAAGUGUGGGGAGCGAACAGG